GUACUUGCUUUGAGAGUACACAUACUAACGUUGAAAUGAUACAGAAAAUAUUAGCAUACCCCACAUACAAAUAUAAAAUGCAAAUUCAUGAAGCAUUCCAUAUUUUU
rnacentral:snRNA from 1 species